rnacentral:rRNA from 1 species
CAGUGGGGAAUAUUGGACAAUGGGCGCAAGCCUGAUCCAGCAAUACCGCGUGUGUGAAGAAGGCCUUAGGGUUGUAAAGCACUUUCAAUUGGGAGGAAAACCUGUCGGUCAAUACCCGGCAGCUUGACAUACCUUUAGAAGAAGCACCGGCUAACUCCGUGCCAGCAGCCGCGGUAAUACGGAGGGUGCAAGCGUUAAUCGGAAUUACUGGGCGUAAAGCGUGCGUAGGCGGUUCGUUAAGUCAGAUGUGAAAGCCCCGGGGCUUAACCUGGGAACUGCAUUUGAAACUGGCGGACUUGAGUUGAGUAGAGGGGGAGUGGAAUUUCAGGUGUAGCGGUGAAAUGCGUAGAUAUCUGAAGGAACACCAGUGGCGAAGGCGACUCCCUGGACUCAAACUGACGCUGAGGUACGAAAGCGUGGGUAGCAAACAGGAUUAGAUACCCUGGUAGUCCACGCUGUAAACGAUGUCAACUAGCCGUUGGUCCUAUUUACAGGAUUAGUGGCGCAGCUAACGCAUUAAGUUGACCGCCUGGG